CUGGAAGGCACAUCCAUCUGAGAAUAGUGAGAACAGGUGGAGAUCUACAGUUGAGCACACAGGAGCCACAUCACAGAUAAGAAAAGCUAUACCAGUAAAGUCUUGCCAACAUGGCUGCCUAAAUGUAAACUGAGCAAGGACAACACCAAUCGAUGUGCUGACACAGAAAGCUCACUGGUUCUCAGUCCUGCAGAAGUGUCUCCUGAAUCCCCUGCCAGUCCCCAAAUUGACAGAUACUAAGCCCCAACAACUGAGUAAUGGGAGAAGCGGAAGCAGAAGCGAGCAUCCUGCUCUGAAGACAGGACUCAGUCCCUGGCAGGCUUUUCAGACUUGUUUUCCUAGCUGUUAUUAAUGGUAUCAAUCCACCAAGUUUUGAAGCUUGUCUUUGCUUCUGUGAGUAUCCACCUUGAUCGCCUCUGACUUUAAUCUUUCUCUGAAUCCACAAAGUGAAGACUGCUUCCUAAUUUCACUGUCUGAGUGGUUGGGAGUUGCCAUGUCAACAUUUCUCAAGCACUAGCAUCAACUUCUGACUGUAGUAGGGAAGAAUUUGUACCCGACUCCGGUUCUGGAUAUAACAGCAGACGGUCUUUGACUUCCACUCCUCUGUUUGUUUGAAUUAAACCAUUCUGUUCACAUUUCUUUGCAUGUGCAUGAAAAAAAAAAUUCUAAAAGAACCAUGUCUAGGUAGCUGAGCCUCCCCAUCACCACAACUUUAACAAGGACAAUGAUUUUCUUCAAUUUCCAUUUACUUUAAGGAUUCAUGCUCUGCCUCCAUUUUUCAGUAGACUCACCCUAAAUGACUUCACAUCCAUACCCAUGCGGGGUCUUUAUGUUUCUUUAUCCAUUUAUUAUUUAUUGUCAGCAUGCCCUUGGUUCUGUGAGAUCACUCUCUC
rnacentral:lncRNA from 1 species